rnacentral:lncRNA from 1 species
AUUUAAUCAACUUAUCGAGUAUAUCUAAUGACUCUGUCAUUCAAAACUGCAUACCUCUUUAUUUUUAUAACACAGAACACAGAAAUUACAUUUUCAGACGUAAUUGUAGAAAAUGAUUCUCCUCUAUGUUGAGAUUGUGCAUCUCUAAAUUGUAUAUAUGAUUAAAAUCAACAGACAUACAACAAUAACUAAAAACACAACA